AGUGAGCUCGGGGUGCUCGGCUUGCCAAGGGUUAAAAGCAACGGGGCUGGAUUCCUAGAGAGGAGAGGAGAUGAAAGAGGGGAGAAGUCCUCCAGUGCAAAAGCCCCUCCCUCCCCAGUGCCUCCCUGCGAGGGAAGGCGGGGCAUAUUUUGACAGCCCCUUCUGCCUGGGUGGCGCCUCCUGGGACCUGAAUUUGGUAUCACUUCUGAUUUGGACAGACAGAACUUGGCAGAAGACCAAAGGAUUCCUUCUGAUCUCUUGGAGGCUUCUUGAGAGCCCAGAUGGAUGAGCAAGACUCAGCUGGCCCUGAAGCAGGAAGGGGCCAUGUCAUCAACACUGGGAGCAGUGAGGGAUUCUGGGAAAGCUCUGUGCAGAAGAUCCUGGGUGAGGAGGACACCCUCCGCUCAGAUGUGCAGAG